GCUGAAGUCAGUGUUGUAAUGGUGAAUCGGGAUUUUUAAAUGAAGUGGGUUUGAAUACUCUUGACUGUUUUGUGAAAUCGAGUUACGUCUGUGAUUGAAGGAUUAAAAGGGUGUCUAUAGGAUUGAGUAUGCAGAGUGAAUGAAAUUUAUUGGGUUAAUCUAACAAGACAGUCAGUGGAUACAAGAUUGUAAGUACAAA
rnacentral:lncRNA from 1 species